GUAAGUGCUGCGAGAGAGAUUCCGCUUCCCUAUGGGGAGGCGGAAGCACCGAAGGGGCAACGCCGGAAGGCCGAAACUCUCAGGUCCCAGAAUCGCGCAUCUUCG
rnacentral:ncRNA from 2 species